CCAGGCUCCUCUGUACAUGGGAUUUUCCAGGCAAGAAUACUGGAGUGGGUUGCCAUUUUCUCCUCCAGGGCAUCUCCUUUUUUAACACUCCCUACUCAGAACAAAGUACAGAUGAGGUUAUUAAAUAGCCUCAGAAUUGUAGUGAUUCUUCUUGGUUCACAGAUUCUGACUGAUGAUGUCAUGACACAGAAGAAAAUGCAAAAAAGGCAGCCUAUAAUCAAUUCCUGUGAGUGUCACACUUGAGGUAACUGGCCUGAGACAAGCCUCAUUUUGGCCAUGGCUUUGCAGAGCACUCUGGAAGCAGUGUGGCUGGGUCUCCUCCUCAGCUCUCUCUGGAAGGUUGCAGGGAGCAAGGAGCAAGUAUUUCAGUCUCCUACUGUGGACUCUUUGGAGGGAGCUGUGGCAGAAAUUUCCUGUAAUCACUCUAUAUCCAAUGUUUAUGGCUUCUUCUGGUACCUUCACUUCCCAGGAUUUGCACCAAGACUCCUCAUUAAGGGCUCAAAGCCUUCUCAACAGGGACGCUACAACAUGACAUAUGAGAGGUUCUCUUCAUCACUGCUCAUCCUCCAGGUGCAGCCGGCAGAUACGGGGGUUUACUAUUGUGCUCUGAGGCACACAGAAGCAGGGCCUCCAUGAAGAGCUGAACAGAAACAAGGAGAGGUCAGAGCAUUUGCAGGAUGUGGAAGAAAGAUGAACAGUAAGUGCUUCCCCUCCUACUCGCAAUUCAGCCUUCCCCCAAGCUUUUCCAUUUGCACUAUCAGAAAAAUCAUUUGAGUCCAAAACACUA